UACAGAGGGUGCAAGCGUUGUUCGGAAUUAUUGGGCGUAAAGCGCGCGCAGGCGGUCCUUUAAGUCUGAUGUGAAAGCCCACGGCUCAACCGUGGAGGGUCAUUGGAAACUGGGGGACUUGAGUGCAGAAGAGGAAAGCGGAAUUCCACGUGUAGCGGUGAAAUGCGUAGAGAUGUGGAGGAACACCAGUGGCGAAGGCGGCUCACUGGCUCAUUACUGACGCUCAGGCGCGAUAGCGUGGGGAUCAAACAGG
rnacentral:rRNA from 1 species